GGGGUCGCGUCCUAUCAGCUUGUUGGCGGGGUGAUGGCCUGCCAAGGCUUCGACGGGUAGCCGGCCUGAGAGGGCGACCGGCCACAUUGGGACUGAGAUACGGCCCAGACUCCUACGGGAGGCAGCAGUGGGGAAUAUUGCACAAUGGGCGCAAGCCUGAUGCAGCGACGCCGCGUGCGGGAUGACGGCCUUCGGGUUGUAAACCGCUUUUGAUUGGGAGCAAGCGAGAGUGAGUGUACCUUUCGAAUAAGCACCGGCUAACUACGUGCCAGCAGCCGCGGUAAUACGUAGGGUGCAAGCGUUAUCCGGAUUUAUUGGGCGUAAAGAGCUCGUAGGCGGUUCGUCGCGUCUGGUGUGAAAGUCCAUCGCUUAACGGUGGAUCGGCGCCGGGUACGGGCGGACUGGAGUGCGGUAGGGGAGACUGGAAUUC
rnacentral:rRNA from 1 species